UACGUAGGGCGCGAGCGUUGUCCGGAUUUAUUGGGCGUAAAGAGCUCGUAGGCGGCUUGUCGCGUCGUCCGUGAAAACCCACAGCUCAACUGUGGGCUUGCGGUCGAUACGGGCAGGCUAGAGUUCGGUAGGGGAGACUGGAAUUCCUGGUGUAGCGGUGAAAUGCGCAGAUAUCAGGAGGAACACCGGUGGCGAAGGCGGGUCUCUGGGCAACAACUGACGCUGAGGAGCGAAAGCGUGGGGAGCGAACAGG
rnacentral:rRNA from 1 species